GACGAACGCUAGCGGCAGGCCUAACACAUACAAGUCGAGGGGUAGAGGAAGCUUGCUUCCUUGAGACCGGCGCACGGGUGCGUAACGCGUAUGCAAUCUACCUUUUACAGAGGGAUAGCCCAGAGAAAUUUGGAUUAAUACCUCAUAGUAUUUUCGAAUGGCAUCAUUUGAUUAUUAAAGUACCAACGGUAAAAGAUGAGCAUGCGUCCUAUUAGCUAGAUGGUAAGGUAACGGCUUACCAUGGCAACGAUAGGUAGGGGUCCUGGGAGGGGGAUCCCCCACACUGGUACUGAGACACGGACCAGACUCCUACGGGAGGCAGCAGUGAGGAAUAUUGGACAAUGGGCGCAAGCCUGAUCCAGCCAUGCCGCGUGCAGGAAGACGCAUCUAUGGUGUGUAAACUGCUUUUGUACGGGAAGAAACACUCCCUCGUGAGGGAGCUUGACGGUACCGUAAGAAUAAGGAUCGGCUAACUCCGUGCCAGCCGCCGCGGUAAUAC
rnacentral:rRNA from 1 species